GAUGAACGCUGGCGGCGUGCCUAAUACAUGCAAGUCGAGCGAACAGACGAGGAGCUUGCUCCUCUGACGUUAGCGGCGGACGGGUGAGUAACACGUGGAUAACCUACCUAUAAGACUGGGAUAACUUCGGGAAACCGGAGCUAAUACCGGAUAAUAUAUUGAACCGCAUGGUUCAAUAGUGAAAGACGGUUUUGCUGUCACUUAUAGAUGGAUCCGCGCCGCAUUAGCUAGUUGGUAAGGUAACGGCUUACCAAGGCGACGAUGCGUAGCCGACCUGAGAGGGUGAUCGGCCACACUGGAAGUGAGACGCGGUCCAGACUCCUACGGGAGGCAGCAGUAGGGAAACUUCCGCAAUGGGCGAAAGCCUGACGGAGCAACGCCGCGUGAGUGAUGAAGAUCUUCGGAUCGUAAAACUCUGUUAUUAGGGGAGAACAAAUGUGUAAGUAACUAUGCACGUCUUGACGGUACCUAAUCAGAAAGCCACGGCUAACUACGUG
rnacentral:rRNA from 1 species